rnacentral:lncRNA from 1 species
ACACCUUCCAGUUGGUUGACAGAAAUCUCCUGAGGCACGUAAGCCAUAUUCAGCAUCUUCAGUAAGGCGUUACGAUGUGCCUCAGAGCACAGCAGCAAAGAGAGUAUCGAGAUUUUGGACGGAGUCUGGUUAAGCUGAUCUACAAUCUUGUAGUCACUCUUCUUGAUAAUCUUCAUGAACUCCUCCACAUCCUUCUCAAAUGAAC